GAAUGCGGGCAUCGAUCCCGCUACCUCUCGCAUGCUAAGCGAGCGCUCUACCAUUUGAGCUAAUUCCCCGCGCUGCUUGCAGAGCUGCCCAGUGCCCCCAUAUUCACUUCUCGCGAGACGUCGUGCGCUGCCGGCCGUUACACGUCCUGCCCGGGGCUCCCAGUGCGCCUGCGCGGCAGCGCGACGGCCGGGGCUCGGCGGCGGGCCGGGCUGGGCGCGCGCCGGGAGAGGAGGAUGCGCCCCGCGGAUUUGCCAGUUCCUGUGUGCCAAUGGGAAUUGUGUUCUGGCUCCUGGUCAGUGCUAUAAGAGAAGCUGAUGCUCUGAACAGUGAGCCUGGGGCACAAGAGAGUGUGGAUUGCCUCCUGCCUUGCCUCUUCUCCCAGCUGCCUGUGGUGAGCUCUCACGUGCCAGAGGACGAGGGUGGAGGAGAGCAGCCACGUGGAGCUGGGGUGGUGUGGGUGAGCCAAAGGGCAUUUGAUCGGUGGGCUUUGGCAACUUUCACCCUGCAGCAGAGACAACUGGCUCCUGCCAGGUAGAUGCCUUCAGGGGAGUGGACAACUCCAGCUGAACUGAUGAAUCUUGGCACCUGAUAAAAGGCUCAGCUUCUGAUAUGAAGAAGGAUAUAGAGUCUUUAAUAGCCCAAGAAAAAGCAGAAAUCGUCGCCAAGUAUGAGAAGGGCAGACAGGAAGGAGCUCAGAUUGACCAGUGGGAAGAUGCCGAUUUCACGCUGUACAAAGUUACAGACCGGUUUGGAUUCCUGCACGAGCAGGAGCUGCCAACCCGCACCGCCUUGGAGGAGAAGCAAAAACAGCAGGAAAUAGAACGUGUGGACAAGUGGCUUAAAAUGCUGAAGAAAUGGGGCAAAUACAGAAACAGUGACAAGAUGUGCCGGCGUGUGUACAAAGGGAUCCCGCUGCAGGUGCGGGGCCAGGUCUGGUCACUUCUGCUGGAUGUCGAGAAGAUGAAGAAGGAGAAUGAAGGAAAAUAUGAGCAAAUGAAAGAACAAGCAAAGAGUUUUUCGUCGGAAAUCAAGCAGAUAGAUUUGGAUGUUAACCGCACCUUCCGAAACCACAUCAUGUUUCGGGAUCGCUAUGGAGUGAAGCAGCAGGCACUCUUCCACGUCCUGUCAGCAUACUCAGUUUAUAACACUGAAGUGAGCUACUGCCAAGGGAUGAGCCAGAUUGCAGCCAUCCUCCUGAUGUACUUGAAUGAAGAGGAUGCGUUCUGGGCGCUGGCACAGCUGCUCACCAACCAGCGCCACGCCAUGCACGGUUUUUUCAUUCCUGGGUUCCCGAAGCUGCAGAGGUUUCAAGCCCACCAUGAGCAAAUUUUAAACAAACUGUUUCCGAAACUGAAGAAGCACAUGGACAAGGAGCAGAUGACUACUGGGAUUUACACAACCAAGUGGUUCCUGCAGUGUUUCAUUGACCGGACCCCAUUCACUCUGACCUUGCGGCUGUGGGAUAUCUAUAUCCUGGAAGGGGAGCGGGUGCUGACGGCCAUGGCUUACACCAUCCUCAAACUGCACAAAAAGCGCUUGCUGAAGAUGGCACUGGAAGAUUUACGUGAAUUUCUGCAGGAGAAAAUUGCUGCUUCCCUGCAGUACGAGGACGAUGCUGUCAUCGAGCAGCUGCAGGUGUCAAUGACUGAACUGCGCAAGAUGAAAUUUGACCUGCCCCCACCAGCAAAGCCUGAGGAGUUUCCAAGGAAACCCCUGGGCCUGGAGCUCUCCCUCAACCCAGUAGCCAUAAAGGAAAACGCAGCGGCCAAUGGCCAGAAUGGCCGGGUGAGCGAGCACACUCCAGACAGGGAGCCCCAUCCCCAGAGAGUUCCUGGUGCACCAGGAGGAAUGACAGUGGUGGAAGCAAGGACUCCCACUUUCCAGGGUAGUGAAGCAGCUGAAGAAACAAACAUGCCUGUUUCAGAUGGGCAGCCACCAGGUGAGGAGGGUCAUGUGGAGCCCAUCAUGGACAGACAGCCAUCAUCUCUUCUGAAGGCAAGUGAGACACAGGCCCAGCAACACCUCCUGCCCACGGUCCUGCCUCCAGAGCAGCCUCUUCUUGCUCCUGGCUGUGCUGUGGUGGAUCAUGGAGUGUCCCUCCCUGCCCCAGCUGAGCACAGCUCCUCAGACUCCUCUCUCCAAAACAGGCUGGCUCCUCCUGACUCCAGCACCACUGAGCUUUCUGCUACGGACCAGGCAGCAUGGCAGCCAAAUCCCACUGCCCUGCCAGUGGGAGAACUGGCAUCUUCCCUGAGCAGAGAUGAAGUGCUCGAAGCAGCCCCCCAUCCUCUGCCAGCUGGCUGCCAGCAGCUCUCCUGCACGUCACAGAGCGAUGGCUCCCCCGAGGGCGGGGAGGAGGCGGUGGAUGACAGGCACUGCAGGGCGGUGCUGCCGGACAAAACGGGCCUGAAGCGCUCGGCAUCCAAAGCUGCAUCCACAGGAGAGCUCCUCAGCCUGCAGCACAACGGGCCGGGCGGUGCCAGCGGCACCAGGCGCUGGCCCGAGGCUGUGGGCGCGCUGCCUGCGCACAGGCAGGCGGGGGGCAGCGUGCCCGUCUUGGCCAGCAGAGAGCCGGAGGCAGCAGGGCUGGCCGAGGGCUGCCCUGCCCCGCGGGCACCGUCCCCCGUGGUGGAAGGGAACAGCCCCUACGUGGUUAUCAAAACCACCACUCCCCUCCACCUGGCCCAUGCCACAGAACAGGACUUCUUGAACAGAAAGCAGGUGGCAUUGCCUCUGUCAGAGACUGGACAUUCCCUGCCUACCGCCUCCAUGCCACCACCUCUUAUGCCAGACCCAGAGGAGGUGGAGAUCCAGAAAAGCCUCCAGAAACCAUUGAAUGCACUGAAAGCCCCACGACCCCCGCUGAGCCCCAAACCAAAAUUACCGCUGCAGGUUGCCAAAUCCCGCUCAGAGAACAGCUUCCUUUCAGGCUCUCCUUCCCUGGCAAAGCUGCCCAAAUCGGUGACGUUCUAGUGGGGAUGGGGAAGGGGAAGCUAAGGGAGAAGAAGUGGGUUCUGGAGAAGCACCCUUGCCCCAUUUACAGGAUCCCCUUCUGUUAGCAGGGCUGUUGGGGUGACAGCACAGCACCAUCACACAUCAAGCUGUGCUUUGGUACGAACAGCCAGCGAGGAGACAAAGUGAUGGCCACCAGCGCUAGGAGACACCAACAGAUUGGAUUUGCAUGUUUCCUAUGGACAAAUUGGAAAAUGCUUUCAUUUUUUGUUCCUCAAAGUUCCCCAAGCCUCAUCAUUUGGGGAAAGAGGCAGGGCUGGUACUCACAAGCAGCCUCAUUGCACAAGCUGCUUCGUGUCACCUCCCAGCCACCAGCUCCUGUGAACCUGUUGGCUCUCAGGCAGUGGCAGUUGGGACAAGAUUUGAACAUCUGCCAUGGUUACCUACAUGACAGGCAGUGCAGGGUUUAGAUAUGGCAUUUAUCCAACUGCCAAAACAGCACCCCUGUCAAGGAGAGAGCAGAAGUAGCCAGAAGGGCAGCUUCCCCAAGGGAAGGUGAGUUGUGCUAGGUUUGAGGGUUGCAUUCUUCCAUUAAACAGCCUUGGUUCUCUUGGUGUUGAAGAUACUGUUUAUUGGUAUCCUUGAUCCCCAGACUCUCUCCACAUGCCUGGCUGUGGCACUCUCACCCUGUCCUUGCAGGGACCAGGGACAGGCGUGGCUCCACCAUCUCCUCGGACAGCAUCCCUCCAGCUAAUGCAGGAGCCACAGAGGUACCCAGCCUUGAACUGGUGCUUGAUGGGGCUCUCAGGUAUGGUUUUGGGGUGCCAAGCACCCACUGCAGCAAGUCCUUCCUAGGGGGAAACCACCCCUGGGACUUGCCCACAGGUAAGCCUAAGCCCUUCCCUCUUACCGGAGCAGUGUAAGACCUCAGGGUGAACAUAAGCCAUGCCUGGUGUCCAGCCUGGACUGAAUGCCAGGCCUCCGGCUGCUGCCAGGAGCACCAGGAUAUGGCAUGCUCCCUGCAGCAGGGAGGUGUCAGCACAGGAGGUGCUUGUGUCCCUGAGGGGAUGGGAGGGUAGACAGCCCCUGUGUCAUUCCAGCAGUCCCCCUUGUCCCCUCCUAUGCCCCCCAGGGCCUGGGUGCUGCUUGAAGGGGACAAAGAGCAGGACAAUCCCAAAGCCCAAGGUUACAGAUACCCCCUUGCUGGACAGCAUUGGGACCAGCAGCAAAUCAAUGCUAUAGAUGGUAUUGAGGCAGCUGGUAUUUGCCAUAUUAUCUAUCCCCCUUUUCCUGGUUGAGCCACUGCUGUCAUCACAAGCAGCUCUCCAGCUCCCAGGGCUGGUCCCCAAGGCAGAACUGCAAACUUUCCAAGCUGUGCUCAGCUCCGGUGCCCUGGCAGCCCCCCUGUGGCUCCUGUCCUUCCUGGCUCAGGAGAUGGGUCAGGCAAGAGACCACGUUUGUCCUUGCUGCUCUCUGGCUCUCUGCCAGGCCCCAGCUGUGCUCAUCACCAUCCCUGCCCACCUCUCACUACAUGGAAAGCUCAUCAACCCCUGCGUGCCUCCGCAGGGCUUCAGCCAGUCGGCACUGAAUAAUUGAUGCUAAGUGGAGCCUGGAGCAGAGCCAAACUAAGGGAGGGAGCAAGGCUUUGUGCUGGUUUAGGCUCUGCUUCCAGGAUACAGCAGGGGGAGAGACAUGGGUGUGCUGUGUCUGGCAGGUUUGUGCCCCAGCCAGUUUGGCAGGGCACUUGGAGUUUGGCUGGGCCUUGCAGCGUUCCUCCUCUUGGGCUUGCUGUGCUGCUCAUGUGCUGCUGUGUCCUGCUGCCAUGGCAGUGUUGCUGUAGGAGUAGCAUGCUGCUCUUGUGCUCAUGUGGCAGUGGUGGAUGGGAUGUGGGGAGCAGAGCAAGGGCACCCCCAGUCCCAGCAGCCCCUGCUAGGGAUGAUACCUUGACUCUCCUAAGCUACAGACCCUGGACUCAACCCAUAGCAAGAGCAAAGGAGUUGCACAUGGGGCCAGGCCUAUCUGCCUUUUCCCCUUCCCACCAAUUGCUGGUGGCCAGGAUGGUGGCUGUCACACCAUCCUCUGAGCAAUGUCAUCCCCUUCCUGCAGCACAUCCCCAAGUAUAAAGCAGCAUAUGGAGAAAAUAACAGCCUGGCGUUAGUUUAAAGAGGCCCACCUGACUGCUUCCCAAACCAUCUCCCAAAUCCUACUGCCUCAGCAUCUGAGGAGGCCCACAGGGUAUACAUCAGCAUCCUCUUCACCUACAAGGAUGUGGGCACCAGGACAGUGCAGGAGACAAGCAAACCACAGCUGAAAUGUCUUGCCAGGAGACAGCAGGUGGACCCAUCCCACAAGCAUCCUUACUGGCAGCAGUUACAAAAGAGCCCAAGAUGGGAAUGGAGAAGACUUAGAAGGCACACACAAAGACAUUAGUCCAAGGGAUUGGAGUCACAAAGCCUGGCUGUUCUUCCACACAGUAAAACAGUCUCCUCCUUAAGAUACAGAGAAAGGUAAACAAACUUCUCAUUUUGUUCAAAACUGGUAUGAGCUCCCUUAGAGGUACCUGUGGCUACAUGGGAUGCAAUAUCACAAGCCCCUCUUCCAGUUAAGAGCCUGGGCCACUCUGGUGCCCUGAAGGCCACUCAGCCUGGCCUCACAUCAGAGCCCUGCUCCUGGCACAUCUAAGCCUACAGACUUAGAUAAGGCUUGGGGAAGCUGGUUCUCAAGUGGCUUUGCUUACCUUUAUGGUGAAGGCAACAAGUGAUACAGAAGUACUGCUUAGGCUGGAAAGGUUUGCAGCAGUGGCUGUAGUCCAGAAAGGAAACCUGGUCUGCUUCUCUACCCAACCACACUGCAGGUGAGGGGGAUGAGGCCAGCAUUUAGCCAAGGCUGCUCUGUGAAACUCAGCCUUUCAUUCAGCUGCCCCUACCACCGCCCUCACAUCUCAAGUCUCACUCCAGCACUGAGUCAUUGCUGCCAGCUCCUGCACAACCCAGGUCUUUGCCAAAGCCCUCAGCAAGCACCAUGCACUCACCUGCUUUGGAGUCACCCUCUCUGCUGGCUUAGGAGAAUGAGGGUGGAAGCCCUCAUAGACCAAAAGGCAUGAGAUCUGUUCACACACUGGUUCAGCAUCUUUAAGGACUUGUAAGCAAUUCUGGCAGUUGACUCAGCUGUGAUGUCUCUGGUGCCCCAACCCCUCUGUAACAGGGUGUGGGGCACUUGAAUGAUGUGAGAGAAGAACAUGUAUUAUACGUCUGUCCUGAGACAUCUGGACCUGACCAGACUAGAACAGACCUUGUCAGCUAUUCUGUCAUUUAAGUACAGGUUCAAAGGUGGCACUCCUCCAUCAAGGCAUAUGCAGUCUCAACAUAAUCAGUAGGAUGCUGACUGAAGCCUUGUCAGAGCUGGUUUUCACACUGGCUGGAGAUCCACAGCACAGCACAAGUUUAGUUCAGCUUUGCAUGGCCAGCUGAAGAGAUCACAAUAGCCAGAGAUGAGCUGAUGUACACAAAUACAGCAAGAAGCUCACCUCUGUGGAUUCUUUUCCAGCUUUGGCUAUGCAAUACAACAUAACUGUACAUUCUGCUCACCUGAGCUCGUGCCUCUGAAGCAGUACUGAGGUACACAACAAACUCCUUAUCAUAAGGGAAACAACUGCAGUGUCUGAAAAUUUCAUCUUCCAGUCCCAGUACUUCUAGAACAAACGUGCCUUGAAUAACUAUGGGGAAAAUCAACUCCAAACCCCUCAAUUUAUUUCCCAAACCUACAUUCACUCCAGUGAAACUGUAAUCCUGGUAUUACUUUCAGACUUGAGAAGUUCAGCUAGCAUUGUGAGCUCAGGUACCAGCCUCCUGCCUGUCAGGGGCUAGCAAGAUGAUGUCUUGUCCCCAAAUCAUCAGCACCAAGGCAGCAAGUGAGAAAGCCAAGUCAAGAGUAACAACUCCACCUGAGAGAAGUGAUACAAUCUGGUUUUUGCAAACAGCAAAGAUCAGACCAGAUCACAGCUGAUGCAUCUUGAUCUGUUGUGAUUUUCCUCCUGGAACAAAAAUGCAGUACAGCAUUAAUAUACAAUUAAAACGUGGCUUUUGGAGAAGAGCUGUGGUGUCAAGCUUUUAGGACCUCCUUUUGCUCCUAACCUACCUCCAACUUUUAGCAUGGACUUGAACAAUGACCUGUGUCUGGAUUUCUUGUGACCUUCUAAUUACAGCAAAAAGCUAACCAGCUCCUGUGAUGGUCUGUCACUGACCUGGACUGUUUGACAAGCUUGAAAACCUUACCCUGAGCGCAGAAACCUCUUUGAAAGGGAAUGCUCUUACUUCAGCUUCCUGCUCCUCACCAAACUCUUGUAAGUAAUUUGUAUUCUGGCCAGUGCUGUUCUAGCAUACCCUCACGACAAUGUACCAGUUUCUUGGAACUGCAGCCCUGCAAACACACCUUGGCCCAGGUGCUCCUCAGCUCCCAGUGCUUGACUAUGGCAUUUGGCUCCCAGCCAGAAAUGAGAGGAGAUUCUCAGUCCUUGAGAGAGCUCCAGUAUGUUACUUCUCUGAAGGCCUCCAGCUAGUACUAUCCCAUCCUUCUAGAAGGGGAUAAGUUCUACUGCAGAUGAAGACCACUAGGUUCCUAGUGCAGUAACAACUCCAAGCAAGUGCCCCCAAGUCAUCUUCUAGAAGGACAAAGAACCCUGUCCUGUGGCCAGUUGUGCACAAGAUGCCAACUUUAGGAACAAACCCCAGGCUUCAGACUUGAAACAACUCAGAGUGGGAGGUUUUCUGGGCAUUUCUGGUCCAGUCGCACCAUGUGACAUCAGGUUCAGCAUCUUCAGCAAUCCUCCAGCGCAGGGACAGAUGCUGCUGCAAACAGCACACCCAGCUACAGGCAAGGCACUCUCCCCUUGGGCAACUUCUCCCACUCCAGCUGGUAUCAGCCCUUCUGCAGGAACAGGGUGCCAGGCAGCUGCAGCCAGGGCGAGGGUUGUGCCCUACAGCAGUUCAGAACAGGCAUUUACAGAAAGCAAGCCAUUAGUACAAGUCCCCUCUUGCCCAGGCCAAAAGCAAAGGCAGCACCCUCAAGGAGCAUGGGAGCUGAAUUCUGCUGCCUUAAUUCUGCUGCUGCUUGAUGGGCAGCAUGGAGGAUGGGGAGUGGGAUGGGAGGUUGCUUGGAUGGAUGCUAGGAAGCCCUGAGUGGGCUGUGGCUUUGUGCUGGGGGUGACCGGGGUUUCUGUACUGGUUUUUCCAUAUGAGGCAUGUGACUCAUGCCACCCUCGCCACUCCAAACCCAGACCAACCUUGGCUGCCAAAUCCAGCCCCUCUUCAGGUCUGGGCUAGCCCAUGCAGAACAGCUCCCUGCCACACUCCGCUGGAUCACCUUCCCCCUUUGAUGCUCCUCAUUCUGGAUGCCAGCUAAAUUAGCCUGUGCUAUAGCUUGGAAGAGGGAAAGACAGCGAACACCAAGCCACCCGCUGCACUGAGUGCAAUGCCCUGUCUUGGGGCUGCAAGUGAAAGGCACAUAGGUCAGACCUCAAGCAAAAACCGCAAAGGAGCAGAGCUAAGCAAAGAGAGGUUCCCAACAGAUUAGCCCUUAUCCAAAACACUCUAACCCACUCUAAACCCAAGGAUGAGAAGCCUGAAUCCUUUAGUCUUAGUUACUGAGCAGCCAGACAGCUCCUGCAGCUUCUUGACAUGCUCUCCAGUAAGGAAGCCAUGCACAGGGCAGACAAGGAUUUGCUUACCUGUACAUACUGGAGCAGCCCAAGGUGUAUAUGCUAUACAGGUGUUAGCACAGCUGGAAGGUACCACAAAGUCCUAAUUCUACCUCUAGAGCACAACACGUGAUGGAGGUCUUGUGCCAGAAAGAGCUGACAGGAAGGGAGUCAGGGAAGCAACAAACUGCUGAGGUGAACCCAGCUCUCGAAUCUCCUCCCUGAAUCUUCUUCCCUUCCAGGCAUUGCAUCCGAGGCCAUAGAUCCCACAAGGACUAGGCUGAAAGCAAAGCACUCAAGGGGUGCCAAGGACAGGCCUGGACUGGUUGCGCUCUUCCGCUUUCCCAAAACUUGGGGCCUGCAGAGUUUCAGGUGGGCUGGGGAGGACAUAACAAAGACUUGCUGGAGACAGAGACAAGCUGUCCUGCCCUGAGAGCUUGUCUCUCCCACCCCAAUCACCUCCAUGGAUCUACAGCAUGACUUUGGUCUGUGGAGAGCAAAUCUCAGCACCCUUUCCUCCCCGCCAUCCCACCAGCGAUCCUUCUGGAGCACCAGCAGCAGCAGCCUCUGGAAGGAGGACACAGCCAUCAAGGUGAUUUGUUGAGACGAUCAAAUAAUAAUUUACUGUGAUUCAAUCUGUGGCUUUGUACAGUUGCCGGGGUGGGAGGAGGCCAAAGGAUGAGGGGAUGGGGAUAAAAAAAAAAAA